rnacentral:rRNA from 1 species
GGUGAGUAAUGCCUAGGAAUCUGCCUGAUAGUGGGGGACAACGUUUCGAAAGGAACGCUAAUACCGCAUACGUCCUACGGGAGAAAGCAGGGGACCUUCGGGCCUUGCGCUAUCAGAUGAGCCUAGGUCGGAUUAGCUAGUUGGUGAGGUAAUGGCUCACCAAGGCGACGAUCCGUAACUGGUCUGAGAGGAUGAUCAGUCACACUGGAACUGAGACACGGUCCAGACUCCUACGGGAGGCAGCAGUGGGGAAUAUUGGACAAUGGGCGAAAGCCUGAUCCAGCCAUGCCGCGUGUGUGAAGAAGGUCUUCGGAUUGUAAAGCACUUUAAGUUGGGAGGAAGGGCAUUAACCUAAUACGUUAGUGUUUUGACGUUACCGACAGAAUAAGCACCCGGCUAACUUCGUGCCAGCAG